GCUUGAGUAGCUUAUAUUUAGAGCGCGACACUGAAGAUGUCGAUGAGGUAUAUUUUACCUUCGGGUA
rnacentral:tRNA from 1 species